GCGAAAGUGGCGAAAUUGGCAGACGCACCAGACUUAGGAUCUGGCGGAGCAAUCCAUAGGGGUUCAAGUCCCCUCUUUCGCA
rnacentral:tRNA from 1 species